ensembl:lncRNA
AGUCGCGAGACGUUAGUACGCAUGCGCGGCCACCGAGAUGGCAGUACGCAUGCGCGACGUUAUAGAAGGUAGUACGCAUGCGCGAGUUUCUAGACGGCAGUACGCAUGCGCGGCAUUACGGACAACAGUACGCAUGCGCGAGACGGCAGUACGCAUGCGCGUGGAUCGAGACGUUAGUACGCAUGCGCGAGGUUCCAGACGGCAGUACGCAUGCGCGAGUUUCGAGACGGCAGUACGCAUGCGCGUGCCUGGAGAUGGUAGUACGCAUGCGCGAGGUUCGAGACGGCAGUACGCAUGCACAACAUUCUGGACGGCAGUACGCAUGCGGGAGACGCGAGCCGGUAGUACACAUGCGCGAGGCUCGAGACGGCAGUACGCAUGCGCGAGCCGCGAGACGGCACUACGCAUGCGCGAGCCUGGAAACGGCAGUACGCGUGCGCGACCCAAGAAACGGCAGUACGCAUGCGCGUUACGCCAGACGGUAGUGCGCAUGCGUGAGCUUUUAGGCAGCUGUACGCAUGGGCGACAUCAUGGACGGCAGUACGCAUGCGCGAGCGUCGAGCCGGCAGUACGCAUGCGCGACAUUACGGACGAUAGUACGCAUGCGCGAGGUUCGAGACGGCAGUACGCAUGCGCGACAGUAUGGACGGCAGUCCGCAUGCGCGAGCGUCGAGCCGGCAGUACGCAUGCUCGAGUUUCGAGACGUUAGUACGCAUGCGCGAGGUUCGAGAUGGCAGUACGCAUGCGCGAACGUCGAGCCGUCAGCACGCAUGCGCGACAUUAUGGACGGCAGUACGCAUGCGCGAGCCUGGAGACGGUAGUACGCAUGCCCCACAGCAUAGACAGCAAUACGCAUGCGCGAGUUUCGAGACGGCAGUACGCAUGCGCGACAUCAUAGACAGCAGUACGCAUGCGCCAGACGCGAGCAAGUAGUACGCAUGCGCGAGUUCCGAGACGGCAGUACGCAUGCGCCACAUUAUGGACCGCAUUACGCAUGCGCGAGCCCCGAGACGGCAAUACUCAUGCGUGAGCAGCGAUAGGGCAGUACGCAUGCGCGGCAUUAUGGACAGCUGUACGCAUGCGUGACAUCAUGGACAGCAGUACGCAUGCGCUAGCUUCUAGACGGCAGUACGCAUGCGCGACGUUUUAGACGGCUGUACGCAUGCGCGACGUCAUAAAUGGUAGUACGCAUGCGCGAGCUUCGAGGGGGUAGUACGCAUGCGCGUGUUUCUAGACGGCAGUACGCGUGCGCGACAUUUUGGACCGCAGUACGCAUGCGCGAGCCGCGAGACGGCAUACGCAUGCGCGAGCCGCGGGACGGCAGUACGCAUGCGUACUUCCUCUUGCGCCAAACUGCCGGGCCUGCAGUUCCGCCUUUUGGCCACUAGAUGGCAUUAGAGACCGCCGCAACCUUUCCGACGCAGUUUUCCUGUUUGGCCUUUAGGUGGCAGCAGAUACCGUGGAAACAACAACUCUGCCGCCUUUUAGCGGACUGCCUGGGACCGUGGGCGCGCAUCCCCUCCUCUCUUUUUUUUCUUGGCAGAGGAUGGUGGGAGGAAGAAGGGGAGACGACAAAGAAAAGCAAGGAAAACUUCGACAAACCCUCCAACCCCGUGCUAAAUGCUUUGGUAUACCUGUAAAUAAAUGAAUACAUAAC